CCAGUUCACUCUCCCUUUCAACAUCCAUUGUAUGCCACUGUGACACAUGAUACUGGCCAAGAAGGACCUAUGGUCUGACUCAGCAAAUGGCAGUUCUUACAUUUUUAUGUUCAUUUUCCAGUGCAUGCUGCCAGACGCUUUCAGGCUAUUUUUCAAGGAUACCUAUGUCUUUGGGAGGCCUGUUUUCUCUUCCUUUUCAAAGCUGACAAAUUGCUUAGCUAAAAUGGUCAGGAGGAAGAAGGGAGAAGAAUUGUACUCAUCCUCAAUUCCUAUAUUCAUGCUAAUGAUUCAUUGUCUGUGAAGAGAGACUGCAGCUGGAGAGCAGAAGUCUGCAGAAAUGGAGAAUGCCUUUAUCUUUUCUUCUGAAUCCUCUAUAGCAGAAUGAAAAGAGAUUUCAAAAUCUUGAGAAUUGCCAUGAAAUGGGUUUUGUCAUUCUUCUUUAGUUCAUUGAUAAAGACACACCAUAUUCUGGGUGGCUUUCAGGGGAUGUACAACAGAGAUAGCUGGACCCCAAAAGUUUAUUUUUUGUGCUAAUGACGUGAUAAAAAAUAUUCAGUCUGGAUUUUGCACUUGUAAUCACUAAACGUUUCUAGCAACAUUUUGCCAAGUAGCAAUUUUGCAUAAAAAAUUCCAUCCAAAUUCUAGAAGUGAUGUAUGGUUUGAUCGUCUUUAGAAUCAGUCCCAAUCAUAAAAGGUGACUUUUGCAUGAGGUCAAACCCCACCAAGAGUUAAAUUUAUGAAAUUAUUUUGGCGGGCAGUGGACAACUUCCAGAUCUUUUUCCUAGAACAUUAAACCAUAGUGACUCCAGUAUAGCGGAAAAUGUACUCAUGAAUGAUCCUUGCUACACCUUUGGAAAUAGCAUACAGUUUCUCCUGCUGCUGACUGGCUUGCAUGGUGAGGUAAUGUGACAUAGCUUUUA